UGUGCCUCCUACACUUUACGACCAAUUUUCCUAUACAUUAUACGCUCCUUCACAAGUCUGUGAAGUAGGCGUCUCCAUUUAAAACACUAAGAAGCGAGGCUCCGAAAGCUCAAACGGUUUACCUGCCACUUUACUGCUGCUUAAUAGGUACUAUGGGUGUAACGCAAGCCCACAGCUUCUGACCACGAAAUGAGAAACAAAACACUUGAGGGGACGUUAGGUCCCUUCUGUCCGAAACCCAGAGGUCACAUUAUUCACCCCAGAGAGAGAAUUCAGAGGGUAAACCCCCUGGCCCGGAAUUCAACGCUGGAGCAAUAGAGGACUGCGGAGAGUCUGGGAGGGACUGAGGCUUGAGGAACAGGCUACCAGAACCAGACCCCACGAAUUCAAGAUCCAUGAAGGCCAAGAGGGACAGAAUAUCAGGCUGGUUCUGCUGCUUAUCUUUGCUCCUAUGGAAGCUCAUAUUGAGGACCCAUCUCUGUCCUUUCGAAUCUUGUCCAUCCUUCAAAGCCACCCCGUAGUCUUUCUGGACUAUGCUGUAGGGAGAGACAGAGAGAAGAAACAUACUUGAAUGAACUAUCAACUGGACUUGUCAAACAUUCACUGUGCAAAGCAGAAGAGGGAUGGAUCAAAGAUGAUUCCACAGGACAUGUCUUGAUGGCUGUGAGUAGAGUGGGGACCACUGACCAACAGGGAGACUCAGUGCAGCCAGGAAAGGUUCACAAAGCUGAGACCAGGAAAGAAGCCAGCCAUGUGCAUGUGAAAGAGAGCAGAGACAGCUCUUGGCUGAGGGAACAAUUUAAAAGUCUAAAAGGGGGUGGAAACAGCUUAUCAUAUGCUGGAGUAUGGUGUGGAGGAGAGCAGCAGGAGAUGGGGUAAGGUGCAGGUCAUGUUGGGCUUUAUAGGCCUUGGUGGUAAUAACAUGGAAUUAGGACACAGAUUCAUUUGUGUAGAUGUUAUUUUAAUACAGUAGGGCAGGGCUUCCCUGGUGGCGCAGUGGUUGAGAGUACGCCUGCCGAUGCAGGGGACACGGGUUCAUGCCCUUGUCCGGGAAGGUCCCACAUGCCGCGGAGCGGCUGGGCCCGUGAGCCAUGGCUACUGGGCCUGCCCGUCUGGAGCCUGUGCUCCGCAAAGGGAGAGGCCACAACAGUGAGAGGACCGCGUACUGCAAAAAAAAAAAAAAAAAAAAAAAAGCACUAACACAGGGAAUUCCCUGGUGGGCCAGUGAUUAGGACUCUGCACUUUCACUGCUGUGGCCCCGGGUUCAGUCCCUGGCGGCGUGGGGUGGGGGGGACGAAGAUCCAACAAGCUGCGCAGUGUGGCCAAAAAAAAAAGUGCUAACACAGAUUUUAAAAACAAAACCCAAGAGAUAAUCACUGCUAAUAUUUUGAUGUAAAACCUUUCACUUUUGUCUCUUCGUAUAUCUAUAUUAUGAUAAUAGCUAACAUUUAUUGGACACAUGAUGUGUACUAUUUUAAAGCCCUUGGCCAGUGAUGGAGCUGAGAUGUGAACCAGCCAGCCUGGUUCUCCUUCAGCCCCCCUCUCUUUCACACAAACACAUUAUAUUUAGGUUUUCUUUUAUUACUGUUAAUAUACAUGUACAGAUAAACAUGCAUGCACAAUAGAUUUUCUUUCUUAAUAUAUCUUUUUUCCCACUUAACCGUGUAUCAUGAACAUCUUUCCUCUGAAUAGCUUAAAUAUUGUCAGUUUCAAACUGCAAGGCUCCUAGAGAUCAUCAGGACUUACUUUAGAUUAUUAAAGAUCCUCACACUAUAGUCUAAAGUUAUUUCAUUAUUAGAUGCUUUCCUGUGACUCCUAAAUUUUAACUUUAUUCUACUUUGUUCAUUCAUUCAACAACUAUUUAUUGAGCACUUAUUAGAUGUACCAAACACCAGAGCAACAGUUUAUGUCUUCAGAGAUUAUACAUCAAGUGGGGAUGACAGAUAGUUAAUGUAUAAUUGUGUAAUUAAUUAUUUUAUUAUCAUUGUCCUGAGUGCUCAGAGGGAAAAAAAUGCCGCGGAGCAUAUAAGUAGUCUGUUGGUGUCUGACUAGUCUAUUAGGGUUAGGAAAGGCUCCCCUGAGGAUAUGAAUUUAAGCAGAAAUCUGAAGGAAGUGUAGAAGUUAUAAAGAUGAAGAGUACAAGAGAGAACAGCCUGAGUGAGGGCCCUAAGGUAGGAAGUAGUAUGAUUCUUACAAGAAACAAAAAUAAGGUCAAUGUGACUAGAAUACAGAGUGCUAGCAAAAACAAUGAGGCUGGUGACAAAGGCAGAUCUAUUUUAUAUUUUUAAGAACUAUUUCACACUUGGCAGGUAAUGCUUAUAAAGGGCUUUCUGGGAGACCACAUAUAUUUGAAACUUAUCCAAAAUAACAAGACCCCGUUUUUCUAGUAUGCAUUGAGUAUUGUCCUUAAGAAGUGUUUGUUUUGCCUUGUGAAGAUAAAUUGCACACCUUUAAUUACAUUGAUAAAUAAUCUCACCAGGAACUGUGAGAAAUUUACAGCAGUUAUUCCCCUAUAGCUAUUUCUCCCUUUCUUCCAUGUUAAUAGAACCCCUAAUCUUCUACUGAGUGUAUGUCUACUCUGAAUUUAAAAAUCUACAUUUCCCAGCCUCCCUUGCAAGCAUAGAUGUAGUCAUGUGACUAAGUGCUGGCCAAUGAAAUGUAAGCAAAUGUGUCUUGCAGCAGCUUUGCUCUCUUCCUUAAAGAUAGCUGGUGGGCACUCUUUGCCCCUUACUCCAUCCUUUCUCCAGGAGAGUGGAUGUUAUGGUCACUAUCUUAGAACACUAGCAUUUAGAGGGCCUAGACUUAGGAAUGAUGGAGUAGUCAGCUGGAAGGAGUCUGGGUUUUUGAUAACUUUGUGGACCAGAGCUCCUAGUCCCUGCACUUCCUACUUAGGGAUUUUUACAAGAGAGAAGUAAACUUUUAUCUUGUUUAACUCAGUGUUACUUUGAGCCUCUUUUCUAAUAGUGGAACCUAAUCCUCACUGAAAUGACAGAAUGAAAAUAGUUCAAAUCACAAAUGAUUCAAGAAAAAUAUAUCUAAAGGAUUAGUACUGAUUAAAAUGUAAGGGCCUUGGACUUCCCUGGUUGCACAGUGGUUAAGAAUCUGCCUGCCAGUGCAGGGGACACGGGUUCAAGCCCUGGUCUGGGAAGAUCCCACACGCUGCGGAGUAACUAAGCCCAUGCACCACAACUACUGAGCCUGUGCUCUAGAGCCCGUGAGCCACAACUACUGAACUCGUGUGCCACAACUACUGAAGCCCGAGUGCCUAUAGCCUGUGCUCCACAACAAGAGAAGCCACUGCAAUGAGAAGCCUGCACACUGCAACCAAGAGUCGCCCCUGGGCAGCAACAAAGACACAACAUAGCCAAAAAUAAAUGAAUAAAUAAAUAAAUUUAUUUUAAAAAAUGUUGUUUCCUGAAGAUGGAAAUUUCUUCUUAAAAAAAUUUAAAAAAUAAAAUAAAAUAAAAUGUAAGGUCCUCCAUAACACUGAACAUAAUACGGAGCACAAGUUAUAAACGGCUUUUCCUUCAAAAGCUCUCUUAUGAAUGCUCCAAGUGGUUUUUACAUUUAUGUCUUCUCUACCCAUAAGAUCUUGGGCUUCCUGCAUGUAGGUGAACCUUAUUUUCCAACUAUAGAGCUCACAUGUAUAGCAUAAUGUUAAGGAGGCAGUAGAGUGCAGAGGUUAACAAGUAGAUUCUGAGAAUCUCUGCCUAAAUUUGAAUCUUGAUUCCAUGACUUCCUAGCUAUGAUAUUUGGAGAAAUUUAUUUUCUUAAUAUUUUUUAGUCUCAGUUUACUCUUCAUAAAAGGGGGAAUAAUAAUUAUAUUCCCUACUUUAUAGAAUUAUUGGGUAAAUAACAGAAGGUAAGUAAAAUGCUUUGCAAAGUACCUGACAUGUAGUAAGCACUCAAUCAAUACUAGCAAUAAUUGUAUCUUGUAGGUGCUUAAUAAAUAUUUGUAUAAUAAAUUUUUAUGAACAUCUGACCCAAAGAGGUUACUUAUUUCUUUGGCAUUAAAAUAUAUAUUUUGACUGUCAGGAAUAAUCUACUGAAUGUAAUUAAAAAUGAAUAAAUGGACUUAGUCUAAAAUGGACAAUAAUUAUUUCUAGCUUUAAGUUGGCAUAUCACUUAGUCUCAGAGGAAAGCAAAUGACAUACUCAAACUGGUAUCAUUCCAGGAGCAGUAGUGGUAUAACCUGGGCUUAGUACCACUGGCUGUUCCUUCCAGGCCAGAAGGGACAAAGAGAGGGAGCAGUAACUGAAUCCCAGGAGAGAAUCCUGUAGUUGGCUACCUUGAGGAGAGCAGUCAUCUGUUGAAGGGCGUAGCCAGCCUGAGGUGACCUUGCCAGGAGCAACCCAGGGUAAUAAUUAAUCUGACUUCCCUAUCCUUUCCUUCUCUAAUCUCCUGCAAGGGCUUCUCAUUGGCCCAAACCAAACAGAAACCAGAGGUGAAGGAACCCCCUCCAUAUAGUGUAGUCUAUUCGAGUCUGCUUCCUGGGCAGAGAGCAGAGUGGACAAGAUGAAGAGUGGAUUUGGAGGAACAAAAGGGAGAUUCCUGGCACCAUGUCAGAAUAAGUGUCCUUAGGACGCCUUUGGUAUUCUGACUGUAAAGCCAGAGAUUGGUUUAGUAAUCCAAUUGGAUGUUAUUUAAAUAUAAACAGCCCAUACUGAUAGAAAGUGAAAAGAAUUCUGAAUAGCUUCCAGCAGUAAAUACCUUUAUUGAAUAUGUUGAUAAAUCAAAUAAGUGAAACAGCUUGGGUAGGAGGUUAGAAACUCAAAUCACACUGAAGAUUUGGUAAAAUGUAUAACGUGAAUUUAGGUGACAUGGGUGGUGAGACCACUCCAUUUGGAGAGUAUGGACUGGAAUUCCUAUUGGCACAGCAACCAUAAAAGAGGGCUCUGUUUCUCCUUUCAGGUCAUAUAGAAGAAGGUCCUGAAAGACUGCACUUCCAGACCUCACCCUCACAACCAACCUGGAAGGCACCCCAAACUGCUUGCGUAAGUUACCCCAGGUUACUUGGGGGUUACUUGUUUCCUUGGGUGUAAGUGACUUUUAGCUCCAUAAAGAUUUUGAAUUAAAUGUAGAAAUGAUGAUGUAAAUCAAACCCACCUAGUAAUAUUAUUUUCCAGUUAGCAUUGAGAAUAUAACACACAAACAUGUGUAUUCUAUGUUUAUAUUUAAGUAUUUAGAAUAUAUAAGAGAAUUUGGACUGUUAACUUUGCUGUUAGAUAGCUUUUUGAUUCUAAUUUUUAAAAACUUUUUAUUACAGAGAAUUUCAAACACAUACAAAUUAGAAAGAAAAGUAUAAUAAACCACCAUGUACCCCUCAUUCAGCUUCAACAAUUGUCAGCUUAUGGGCAAUUUUGUUUCAUCUAUACUCCCACCAUUGGGGACUUCCCUGGUGGUGCAGUGGAUAAGAAUCCGCCUGCCAAUGCAGGGGACAUGGGGUCGAGCCCUGGUCCGGGAAGAUCCCACAUGCCGUAGAGCAACUAAGCCCGUGUGCCACAACUAUGAAGGCCAUGCUCUAGAGCCCGCGAGCCACAACUACUGAGCCCGUGUGCCACAACUACUGAAGCCCGUGCGCCUAUAGCCUGUGCUCCACAACAAGAGAAGCCACCGCAGUGAGAGGCACGCGCGCCGCAACCAAGAGUAGACUCUGCUUGCCACAAGUAGAGAAAGCCCGCGUGCAGCAACAAAGACCCAACACAGCCAAAAAUAAAUAAAUAAGUGAAUUUAUACUCCCACCAUGUUCCUUCUCCUAUAUCAUUUUGAAGCAAAUUUCAAGUAGCCUAUUAUUUCAUCUAUAAAUAUCCCAGUAAGAAAUGCUAAAAGAUAAGGCCUCCUUUCUUCAAACAUAACCACAAUAUUACACAACUUAAAAAAAAAGAUGAUGAUUAUUUAACAUCAUUAAAUAUCCAGUCAACAUGCAACUUUCCAAAUGGCUCAUGAAUGUCAUAUUUUCUAUUUAGUUUGCUUGUUUGAAUCAGAUCCAAAUUAGAUCCACACCUUUCGUUUGCUUAAUAACAUUUUUAAGUCUCUUUAACUUAUAAGUUCCUUCUCCAUUUGUCUUUCUCUUUUUUCCUUGUACUUAUUUGUUAAAGAAACCAGGUGUUUUUCCUGUAGAGAUUCUGACAAUCUGGGCUUUGCUGAGUACAUUCUGGAGCAAACUUUAACAUGUUCCUAAGUCCCUUGUGUUUUCUGUAAGUUGUGAUUCCAAUUUGAACUUGUCAUUAGGUGACUGAUUUAGGCUUAUGAUUCUGUGUUGAAGGGUGUGAAAGAAUUAUAUUGUUUGGAAGCAGUAUUACAAUACUUAAUAGAAGACUCACUGUAUUAGAAUUUUUUUUCAUUUAUAAGAAUUAUUUAGGUGCUUGGGAAUGUUUAUCUGUCAAAAUUGAAGGGCUGGAAAAUAAAAUUGAAUAUGUUAAAUUUACAA